CAAUAGCGUAUAUUAAAGUUGUUGCAGUUAAAAAGCUCGUAGUUGGAUUUCUGGGGAGGGUGCCAAUGUCCGUCGUCGUACGUGUUGCAGCGGCGCCCUUCCAUCCUUCUGUUAACGACUUUGGGCAUUCACUUGCCGGAGUCGGGCUCAGAUAUUUUACCUUGAGAAAAUUAGAGUGUUUCAGGCAGGCUAGGCCGGAAUACAUAGCAUGGAAGUAAUAGGAAGUAAGGACGUACGGUUCGUCUUUGUUGGUUUUGUAGGGUACUGGCAAGUAAUGAUUAAUAGGGACAGUUGGGGCCGUUUAUAUUUCGUUGUCAGAGGUGAAAUUCUUGGAUUUACGAAAGAUAAACUUCUGCGAAAGCAUUUGCCAAGGAUGUUUUCAUUGAUCAAGAACGAAAGUUAGGGGAUCGAAGACGAUUAGAUACCGU
rnacentral:rRNA from 1 species